rnacentral:lncRNA from 1 species
CCUAUAAAAGGGGGGACUCAGAUACGUUAUUUUUUAAGCUCAUUUUUCUUAUCUCAAAACUCUGCUAAAUUCUCCGUUCGAGCACUCCAUUCUUGUUGAGGCAGAGAACUGACUUGAGCGUCGGAGGGUCUUGCCGGAGCAACCCCACCUCCGGUUUAGACUUCCCUUGCAGGUCCCGACGGCGACCGCGGCCUCCUCAACUCCAGCUUCUCCGGCGC